AGACGGAGGGGGCUAGCGUUGUUCGGAAUUACUGGGCGUAAAGCGCGCGUAGGCGGUUCGCUAAGUUGGGCGUGAAAGCCCGGGGCUCAACCCCGGAACUGCGUUCAAAACUGGCGGACUAGAGGCCGGGAGAGGAGAGCGGAAUUCCCAGUGUAGAGGUGAAAUUCGUAGAUAUUGGGAAGAACACCAGUGGCGAAGGCGGCUCUCUGGCCCGGUUCUGACGCUGAGGUGCGAAAGCGUGGGGAGCAAACAGGAUUAGAAACCCCAGUAGUCC
rnacentral:rRNA from 1 species